rnacentral:rRNA from 2 species
CUCUCAUGCAGUCGACGAACUCUGGUAUUGAUUGGUGCUUGCAUCAUGAUUUACAUUUGAGUGAGUGGCGAACUGGUGAGUAACACGUGGGAAACCUGCCCAGAAGCGGGGGAUAACACCUGGAAACAGAUGCUAAUACCGCAUAACAACUUGGACCGCAUGGUCCGAGCUUGAAAGAUGGCUUCGGCUAUCACUUUUGGAUGGUCCCGCGGCGUAUUAGCUAGAUGGUGGGGUAACGGCUCACCAUGGCAAUGAUACGUAGCCGACCUGAGAGGGUAAUCGGCCACAUUGGGACUGAGACACGGCCCAAACUCCUACGGGAGGCAGCAGUAGGGAAUCUUCCACAAUGGACGAAAGUCUGAUGGAGCAACGCCGCGUGAGUGAAGAAGGGUUUCGGCUCGUAAAACUCUGUUGUUAAAGAAGAACAUAUCUGAGAGUAACUGUUCAGGUAUUGACGGUAUUUAACCAGAAAGCCACGGCUAACUACGUGCCAGCAGCCGCGGUAAUACGUAGGUGGCAAGCGUUGUCCGGAUUUAUUGGGCGUAAAGCGAGCGCAGGCGGUUUUUUAAGUCUGAUGUGAAAGCCUUCGGCUCAACCGAAGAAGUGCAUCGGAAACUGGGAAACUUGAGUGCAGAAGAGGACAGUGGAACUCCAUGUGUAGCGGUGAAAUGCGUAGAUAUAUGGAAGAACACCAGUGGCGAAGGCGGCUGUCUGGUCUGUAACUGACGCUGAGGCUCGAAAGUAUGGGUAGCAAACAGGAUUAGAUACCCUGGUAGUCCAUACCGUAAACGAUGAAUGCUAAGUGUUGGAGGGUUUCCGCCCUUCAGUGCUGCAGCUAACGCAUUAAGCAUUCCGCCUGGGGAGUACGGCCGCAAGGCUGAAACUCAAAGGAAUUGACGGGGGCCCGGCCAACCGGUGGAG